GGCUCGGCUCUGGGCGCCUCUGCUCUUAACAGACUUUUCCUUUUCUUUUUUUAAAAAGCGGAGUUCCUCUUUCCAACCAGACCCCCUGCACUAACCGGCUGGCCUGUCCGCCGCAGAGCCCGGUUGCCCUGGAUUUCUUAAAGGUUUUAAGCUGUUUCUCCAACUUGGUAUUUAUUUAUUUAUUACUUCUGGUGUUCAAAGACUGCGAUCAAAGCUGUAUCGAGCUCUUGGCGGGGCUCAGUUCGGCGCUGUGGGGUACUAAGUUCAAAGGGUUACUUGGUGGCCUGGAGGGAGCGGGAGACCUACACCCUGUGCCUGACACCCGUGGGGGCCCCGCCUCCGGGGUCACCUCGGUUUACUCUCAUGUAGGGAUUGGAGCCACCUCGAAAGAAAUCACAGCAAGACCAAAACAAAAAGCAAACAACAAAAGAACAACCCUGUGUAUAAAUGAAGACUCCAGAAAACGGGAGUGCGGGCAAGCUUUUAAGCAGAGACUCCGAAGACCCCUCACAGGGGUCUUCACCACUGCCGGACCGUGACCUUGGGAGUGAGCUUGACCGUUCUCACUGCUCCGUGCUUCUGGACAGCUGUCACUGUGGGAGGCUUUGUCAGGGGGCGCCCAGGCUCCUGGGGCUUAGUCCCACCGGGCCCUUUGCUCUGCAGCCACACGGAGUCAUCUUAGGAAGGCAGUCUUCCUGCCCCACCCCACGGCAGGAUUUCCUCAACGUGGAGGCUGCUCUGAGCACCUGGGGUCUGUUCUGAACUCCCAAAAGCCAGGAGAUAGGUGAAGGAAAAUUGGGACAGCUCUGACAGACUCACUCAAUGUGCAUGCGCGCCUCCUUGCUGACUCCUGUCAGCUCCUCUAGUUGGCUUUUGGUUAGUUACCCUUGGCUGCCCUUGCUAGUUAAUAGAACUGGAUUUUGCUAGGAGAGUGAAUUGUGCCUGUCCUUCGGGUGAGGGUGGCCUGAGAACACCCUGUGAUUUACCCCAGGUCUGGCAUUCCCCAGAGUCAGCGGUGAGGCAGGCAAAGAAAAGCAGAGUUGAUAAGUAGGAGGCAAUCUUUAUGGAAAAAAUAAAACCUCCCCUCCUCCCUAUUUUCUCCAGUCCUUUGCCAACCCUGCCCCCAGAUUGCAGGACUCUAGGGAACUAGCUGAACGGGAAUGGCUGCUUGUUCCUUUGACAGGGCAAUGAAGAUACAGCAUGAGGGACCAUCUGGUUUAAAGGGAACCGUAAAACCAAGCCGACGGGGGAAGCUACUAGUUCACCUGCUGCCCCAGACAAGCUGGGGAGGCACUUGCCACUGGAUCACGAGAGAGGCUGUAGUAAGCUAUUGAUCUUUUUUU